rnacentral:rRNA from 1 species
AACGAACGCUGGCGGCGUGCUUAACACAUGCAAGUCGAACGCGAAAGUUUUCUUCGGAAAGCGAGUAGAGUGGCGCACGGGUGAGUAACGCGUAAGUAAUCUACCCCUGUAUUUGGGAUAACCCACCGAAAGGUGUGCUAAUACCGGAUACGUCUGAUUUAAUACCUUUUUUCAGAGAAAGGUGGCCUCUUCAUGAAAGCUACUGUACAGGGAGGAGCUUGCGUACCAUUAGCUAGUUGGUAGGGUAAUGGCCUACCAAGGCAUCGAUGGUUAGCGGGUCUGAGAGGAUGAUCCGCCACACUGGAACUGGAACACGGACCAG